GUAUGUCUAGGGGAAUAUUCACUAAGCAUUGCACAGGUAAAACAAUUCAUUCUCCAUUAGAACUGUUUCUAGGAAUUACUGCAGAUCACAAACAAUCCAAGGAUACAACCAAAAUGUUACAUAGUCAAACGUUGAGCAAACCUUACAAAGAAUUGGGGCCAACACGGAUUGCAGAUACGUAAUAAGAGUUUGUUGCAGAGAGAAGGUCUGACCAAAAAACAAUAAAUGUACCCAUGAAAAAGACAUUUCACUUCCACUAGUUCACAGAUACGU